AUCAUUUCACUUUUAGCGCUUACGUUGUUCACAGAUCAACUGUUCGGUAUUGCGUUAGACAAAAAAAAAAAAUGCGUAUUAUUAUUGGUUCAGUUUUUUUGGCUUUGACAUUAGCCAUUGUUGAUGCCCAACGAGUCAAUGAAGUGUACAUGUCGUGCGGUUCCGCAUGCCCAGCAACAUGUGAGUCGAUCAAAAGUGUGGAGCUCACGAGGUGCAUCACUCAGUGCAUAGAAGGAUGGUUCUGUGAGGGCGAAUACGUGCGGAAUGCUGCUGGAAACUGUGUUAAGCCGUACGAGUGUCCAUAGUGAUUGUAUUCGAAUUUGGUAACGAUCAUGAUCGUUAAUGAUUGGUUAAUAAAAAUAAAGUGAUAAGUUAAA